GGGCACCGUUCCAAUACCACCAAUCUUGUAGACAUCCUGAAGUGGGAGACGGAGUGGCUUGUCUGAGGGCCUCUUUGGCUCAGAGAUCAAGUCAAGAGCCUCGAGAAGGGUUGGGCCCUUGUACCAGUCAAGGUUGGUCGACCUCUCAAUCAUGUUGUCUCCCUCGAAACCAGAGAUGGGAACGAAUGGGAUUUUGUCGGGGUUGUAUCCGACCUUCUUCAGGUAUGAAGACACCUCCUUGACAAUUUCCUCGUACCUGCCCUUGGAGUACUUGGGUGUGGUGGCAUCCAUCUGUACAAAACAAUUAAUUCAGCAAAUUAGACAUUAUAAUAUAAUAAUAGACAAAUAAAGAAUAAAACUCAACGAACAAGAAGUGUAUACAAUGUAUUACCUUGUUACAACAACAGAUCAUCUGCUUGACUCCAAGAGUGAAAGCAAGAAGAGCAUGCUCACGAGUCUGUCCAUCCUUCGAAAUACCGGCUUCGAAACCACCAGUGGUGGAGUCAAUGAUGAGGACAGCACAGUCAGCCUGGGAGGUUCCAGUAAUCAUGUUCUUGAUGAAAUCACGAUGUCCGGGGGCAUCGAUGACUGUGCAGUAGUAUUUGGUGGUCUCAAACUUCCACAGGGCAAUAUCAAUGGUGAUACCACGCUCACGCUCGGCCUUAAGCUUGUCCAAAACCCAUGCGUACUUGAAGGACCUCUUGUUCAUCUCAGCAGCCUCCUUCUCGAACCUCUCGAUCACACGCUUGUCAAUACCACCUAGCUUGUAGAUCAAGUGACCAGUAGUGGUCGAUUUCCCGGAGUCGACAUGUCCAAUGACGACAAUGUUGAUGUGAAACUUUUCUUUACCCAUAGCGAAUGGCUACAAACUGCAACUUUCAAUCAAAACACUAAAUUAGCCUUCAAACAACAAAACUAUCUACAUCAGCUGAACCAGCAUACUGUUUGAAUCGAGAAGAUACAUAUUUUUCGACAAAGAGCUGAUUAUAAUAAUUCAUCUGUGCAUGCAUAUAUCCCUCAAAGCAAUUACAAACACGGUAAACACAAAUAACACAGAUCUACAAAAUUUAUACAUAUUAACCUAUUCAAAAUCUUUACAUAAAUGGAUUAUCAAUAAAAGCAAACCAAUCUCUUAGGCAGAUGACAUAAACACAGAUCAAAAUUCAUUUCUUUCUAAAUCAACGAAAUUAAUAAAGUCGAUUGCAUGAACGAUUAAACAAGAGAAAUUUAUAUACAUGACCGGAUAUGGAUAAAAAAAAGCAUUAAAUCACAAAUCUGAACAAGCCAUAAUAAGAUCUACAAAUUAAAGACAUCGGCAUCGAAAAUUGAACAAAAAUCUAAGCAAAAUCCGAUCCAAUUUGAGAAACAAAAAAGCAUACUUCUGUUUUGCAAAACGGAUUCAAAAACAAUAAACAGAUCGAAGAAGAAAAUCGUAAUGGAUCUAACCUUGUAGGCAGAUGUUAGAGAGAGAAAGAGAACGAGUCGCUUUGCCUACAAAACGGCCCUUAGCAGCAGCAGUGAAAUUCGGAGAGGAGUGAAAUUCUAGGGUUUUCUGGAUAUAUAUAGCAACGAGGCGGGCAAGAGCUAGGGCUUCUUUUGACUGUAGUUUUUCGUUGCUGAAUUUACUAAAACACCCUUUGAUGCUUCUGGAAUAUUCCGAGCUAACGGUAACGGCCUAACGGGUGGGGGAGUGUAAUUCUGGACACAUUGUGGCGACAUAUUUCUUCAUAUUCUUUUUAUUUUUUUUAUUAUUAGUAAUUAUUAAAAGUAAUGAUAAUUCAUAUAUAGUGUUUUUCUAUGUCAUCUCUUAUGGUUGGGUAUUCCAAUUCUUGUCCUUAAUUAUGAAAGUCGAAGCUAAAUAAAUUAACAUUAAUUUUCAUGUAACUUUGUUAUAAUUUACAAGAUCCUAUCGACAUUCUAAAUAUCGAUUUUUAUUUAUUCUUUGAUUUUUUAUGUACACUUUUGUAUAGUAGCAUGCUUCGAUUGCUGAUUAUCCAAUUUUAUUUUAUUUUUCCUUAGUUUUUACUUACACUAUAGUAUAGCAGCUUGCAAACCAUGUGAAAAAACGUAAAUCACACUAUACUAAUUAACCGUAUGUGACAAGUUCUAUCUAACACCGUUGACAAAAGGAAAUUUGAAUUUAGGUCAAUUGACACAAACCCACUUGCAGAACUUUUGGAAAACGAUAGUUGAAUACAUAUUAAAUUGCGAUGAUAAUAUAAUUUUGGAAAACAUUUUAUUGAAUUAUAUUUUAGAUAUUAAUAUAUUUAUGUAUUUUUUAUAUAUAUAUAACAAGUAGGGGUGAGCAAGUCGGACCAUUCAACCCGAUGAGCCCGUUAAACUCGGUAAAAAUCGCCCUGCUAGGACAGAACAGAUAGGUCCAUCUAUAGGAUUGCGUCCCGUCCUGCCCCGCUAUACAGAACGACGUCGUUUUGGUUUAUAUUAUAUAGUAUAAUAAAUUAAUAAUGUAUAAUACGAGAAUAAAGUAUCUCUUACAUGUCAAAACUUAUAUCUAUGACGACGACAUCAUCUUGUAUUGUCUAUGGUUAUCUACUUUAUUUUAAAUUUUGUCUUAUAAAGAUUUGAAUAUAGUUACUAUUUUUUUUUAUGGUUAAAACGUAUUAGUUUUAUUUACUCGUAACAUUUAUCAUUGAUAUUAUUCACGUUUGUUUCAAUUGAAUUUUUUUCGUUUUGUCAUUCAUUUUAAUUUCUAAAUAAUUUUGCGUAAAACUUAUAAAUUAUUAAAGAAAAUAUUUUUUUUAAAUGACGACGUGUUUUGACCCGUGAAGAUUGGGUUCCUAAACCCACAAUAAACCCGUCGUUAAAAUCAAGAACCGUUGAUUGACGGGACGAUGACGGGUUUUGCUAGAACCUGCGGGUUUACGACCGCGCAUAGGCCUAAUAACAAGUGACUUUAAAAAUUAAAGAUUAUUGUUAGUUUGCCCAAUAAAUCCUGCAGCCUCUAAAUUAAGCCCAGCUCUAAAAUGCAGCCCAACAUCAGCAUAAUUCCCCAAUACGACGUCGUACAUCAAUCCUCAGGUUCCCAAUUCAUCUUCUCCAAAGCUCCAAUCUUCAAAACCAUAGCCACCUUCUCCCCCCAAAUCUCCGCCGCCUACGUCGCCAUUGCCGCCACCGGAACCACCGUGUGUCACGACAUAAGCUUCUGUAAGAACUGUUGUAUCUCUGAAUCUCGAUUAUUUCAGUUUCUCUGUACUCCAUCGGAGAAAUUUUGCCUUUAGAUUUUAAUUCUGCACUUUCUCUCUCUUCUUCCCGUGAUUUGAAGUGCAUUUAAUGCUUUGAUUGUCCAUAUUUGUUGCAUCUCAGCCUCCAUUGUUGUCUACUCUGAAUUUCUCUACAAAAACUUUGAUUAUCCGAUUUUUUUAGUUUUUUCCGUCGUCCACCAAUUUCGAAUCAACCUCAGCCCACCUCUCCUGCACUCAUCUUUUUGUUUGGUAAAUUACGAAAAUGCACACACUGCGAAGAAAUCAACUUCGCCAUUUUCACUCCAAUGGGACCUCUACAUACAGUAACUUAUAUCUAACCCUUUCACAAACUCACAGUUCUUCCUCAAGCACAGUCCAUAGGCAGUCAAAUCCAGCCUCUCAUUCCAAUUCCUCCACACCCUUUUCUUUACUUCCCGAUAAACGACAACCGGAAAUCUCGUGUAGACUCUCCCACAUUUCGUUUUAUUCUACAAGAGUAUAUAAAGGUCAUAUACCAAGAUCUUUGAGAAAGAGAAUCAACAAAAGAGCAAGAAUCGCAGCACAGCCCGUCCUGAACGAAUCUCUUUAUCAAGAAGCUGUAUCCCGACUUCCUCCUAGAUUCACACCCGAAGAGCUUCACGACGUAAUAUCCUCACAGAACGACCCCCUAGUGUGUCUCGAGCUUUUCAACUGGGCGACGCAACAGCACAGGUUCAGGCACAAUUUGCUGACGUAUCACAUCACGAUCAAGAAACUCGGUGCAGCUAAAAUGUACGAGGAGAUGGACUCCAUUGUCAACCAGGUGCUAGCUAUUCCUUCCAUUGCUUCCGAGGCUCUUUAUAAUAGCAUGAUAUAUUAUUUUACCGAAGCUAGGAAAUUGGUUAGGGCUGUGAGUAUAUAUAAGCACAUGUGUCGCUCUAGGAAAUUGGACUGCAGGCCGUCGAUUAGAACCUACAACAUACUAUUUGCUGCACUUUUGAGUACGGGAAAGAAUUCGUAUAUUAAUCACAUGUACAUGGAGACUAUACGGUGUUUGUUCAAGCAAAUGGUUGAUGACGGGGUCGAGCCCGAUAUUUUUUGUCUGAAUUCUAUGAUCAAAGGGUAUGUGCUUUCGCUUCAUGUCAACGAUGCCCUUCGAAUUUUUCAUCAGAUGGAAGUGGUUUACAAUUGCCAGCCUAAUUCGUUUUCAUAUAAUUAUUUGGUACAUGGGUUGUGUGCACAAGGCCGAACUGAAAACGCAAAGGAGCUUUGUGAUAGAAUGAAGAAAAACGGGUUUGUCCCGAGCAGUAAAUCGUAUAAUUCACUUGUGAACGCUCUGGCGCUUGAGGGGGAAGUUGAUGAAGCGGUGAAGUUCUUGUUUGAGAUGGCGGAAAACGAAAGGUUAGCUGAUUUUAUUACUUAUCGUACUGUUUUGGAUGAAAUAUCACGACAGAAAGGGAAUGAAGAUGCUUUGAGGUUUUUAGAAAAGGUGCAAGAGAAGAAACUUGUCGAUGGAAAUACGUACAAAAAACUAUUGUAUGAACUGGAAGAUGAUAGUGGGAGUUCAAACUUCAGACGUUGAUUCGAGUAAUAUGAAUGAAGAGAUGUCCUCUUUGAUACGAACUUCCAAAUUAUUGCUUAAAGUCUUGCAAGUCCUACUUUAUUUUUAUCUUUUUAAAUAAAUGAUCGAAUAUCAUUUCCUAAAUGUUCAUACUGCUGCAUGUAUUUGGCUUCGGUGUGCUGUGCAUAUAUAUUUUUUUUUAUAAGAUAAUUGCAUUAACAGAAACGAAACGAACAAACAUCAACAAUGGGCCGACCUCCAUUCCUGGGGAUGAAUCUGAAUUUCCAUUUAGGCCACAAACCCCAGUAUCUAGGGAUUUCUUCAAGGGGAACGAACAGCUGCUGUCCAGGGAAGAGAGCGAUUCUUGCAUUAAUGCAGUCCGAUUCAAAGAUAGCAUCUUUGAGAUUUGCAAAGUUGAUGAGUUUGCAGGCUUCAAGAACGGCACGAUUCAGCAGCGAGAGAGUCGUGACGUUUGUGGGCUUUAGAGGAGGCAAAGACCACAGAAGGUGGCUGAUCUUUUGGCUUUUCCAGUGGUCAUCGUUGCAUUUUGUGGCCAUCGCCAGCAAUUUCUGCAAUGGGAAAGAGGAGGAAAGGAACCAUGAGCAACUUUGUUUCUAUUCAUCCAAACAGAUCAAAUAAAACCGCUGCAAAAAUGACAAGUUCAUCACGAGAGGAUUGAGAGAUAAAGAAAUUAUUAUUUUUAUUCAGAAUGAGAGCAAGCCAAGCCAAGCCGUAAGUGGUUCAUUCCUAAAAGGAUCAAUACGAAAUCGCCAUUUAGAAAUGAGGAGCCGCAAAAGAAGCAGUCAGUUUCUGGCAAAGGAAAAAAGGCGGUCGAGGUGGAUUUUAGUAGGCAGAAGGUUGGAGGCCUUGCCACAGGAGAGAUUUGGACUUUCAAUGUACUGUGCAUAUUGCUGAAACUAUAUUGUUGACUUUGUAACUACUGAAGUAGUAAAUACGUAUUCUUGGCUCACAAUACAUAACGUCUUGAGAAUCCUCGAUUCUUGAUCGUAAAAAUAUACGUAAAGAAGUAUAUUCGGAACGGUUCUCUAUUAUUCUCUGUGGCUGCAGCUAAGAGUACAAACACUUCACAUGAAUCCUAUCCAUGUCUAUCUCCGUUUCUAACGUUAUAUUUUAUUAUAUGAUUAAUAAGUCAGUUCAUUUUGUGAAAAACUUCCAAUUUUAUACACAUAUUCUAGCCCCCAAAAAUAACCCCUGGUCCACCCCUGAAGACACAUAUAUGGAAAAUAUAUAUUAAAGAAAUCAUCUCUGAAGAAAAAUCAUGUAACAUAAACACGAAUUAAGCAAGAGAAAUUUUACGAAGCAAUAUUAAAAAUCAAACCAUAAAUAAAGAUGAAAGUAUGUCUGUAAACCAGAGUACUGCAUACGGAAUUCAAAUGCUGUAAAUCCGCCACCGCCUGUCUAGUACCCAAUUCUGGGAAUGGAUACCAAACAUACAAGGCAGAAAAAUACAACACAACAAGCAAUAUAAAAAUCCAAAUAAAGCAUUGUAAAUCAGAAAAAAGUAUUUAAGACAUAAAUUAUGCAAAUAAUAUUCUCCAGCUGAACCGAAAACCGGCAAAGUUCACUUGGCACCCUUCUUGGCAGCAGCCUUGGUGACCUUGGCUCCUGAUGGGUCCUUCUUCUCAACACUCUUAAUAACACCAACAGCAACUGUCUGACGCAUGUCACGAACAGCGAAACGACCCAAAGGAGGGUACUCUGAGAAAGUUUCAACAACCAUAGGCUUGGUCGGAAUCAUAUUAACCAUACCAGCAUCUCCAUUCUUGAGGAACUUGGGUUCCUUCUCAAUCUCCUUACCCGAUCGCCUGUCAAUCUUGGUCAAGAUUUCCCUAAACUUGACAGCAAUGUGGGAUGUGUGACAGUCGAGCACUGGUGCAUAACCGUUUCCGAUCUGACCAGGGUGGUUCAUGAUGAUGACCUGGGAAGUGAAGUUAGCAGCUUCCUUAGCAGGGUCAUCCUUUGAGUUCGAGGCAACAAAACCACGCUUCAAAUCCUUGACUGCAACAUUCUUGACAUUGAACCCAACAUUGUCUCCUGGAAGAGCCUCGGGCAUGGACUCGUGGUGCAUCUCAACUGACUUAACCUCAGUGGUCAAACCAGUUGGUCCGAAAGUGACGAGCAUACCAGGCUUGAUCAGACCGGUCUCCACACGACCGACAGGCACCGUUCCAAUACCACCAAUCUUGUAGACAUCCUGAAGUGGGAGACGGAGUGGCUUGUCUGAGGGCCUCUUUGGCUCGGAGAUCAGGUCAAGAGCCUCAAGAAGGGUUGGGCCCUUGUACCAGUCAAGGUUGGUCGACCUCUCAAUCAUGUUGUCUCCCUCGAAACCAGAGAUGGGAACGAAUGGGAUUUUGUCUGGGUUGUAUCCAACCUUCUUUAGGUAUGAAGACACCUCCUUAACAAUUUCCUCGUACCUACCCUUGGAGUACUUAGGUGUGGUGGCAUCCAUCUGCACAAAACAAUGAAAUAAAAUUAUUAUACAUCAUAAUAUAAUAAGAGAUAAGCAUGACAAAACACAAUGUAUAUAUACAAUAUAUUACCUUGUUACAACAACAGAUCAUCUGCUUGACACCAAGAGUGAAAGCAAGAAGAGCAUGCUCACGGGUCUGUCCAUCCUUGGAAAUACCAGCUUCGAAACCACCAGUGGUGGAGUCAAUGAUAAGGACAGCACAAUCAGCCUGUGAGGUACCAGUAAUCAUGUUCUUGAUGAAAUCACGAUGUCCCGGGGCAUCGAUGACGGUGCAGUAGUAUUUGGUGGUCUCAAACUUCCACAAGGCAAUAUCAAUGGUGAUACCACGCUCACGCUCGGCCUUAAGCUUGUCCAAAACCCAUGCGUACUUGAAGGACCUCUUGUUCAUCUCAGCAGCCUCCUUCUCGAACCUCUCGAUCACACGCUUGUCAAUACCACCUAGCUUGUAGAUCAAGUGACCGGUGGUGGUCGAUUUCCCGGAGUCGACAUGUCCAAUGACGACAAUGUUGAUGUGAAACUUUUCUUUACCCAUAAUGGAUGCUUAACUGCAAUCAUAUCAAAAUUAAAUGAACAAGUCUGCAUAAAUGAUAAAGAAUAACAGAUACCAAAUAGAAUCACUAAGAACUCAUAGAUUUUCAGCAAUUAUAAAAAUAUAUCAUCAAAAUCACUCCGAAUACAAAUAAAAGGAAACUAAUCUAUCAACAGGCUAACAUCAUUACAAACAUAAUUGAGAACCCAAAUUGUAGUUCAUGAAACAAAUUGACCGCAUAACAUACAUCAAAUUAAAAAUUAAUGAUUCUCAAAGGAGACAUUAAACAUAAGAUCAAUACACACAUGAACAUAGAUUUCAAUAACUGCAAGGACAAAAUUAUUCCAAACUAUGUUAUUCUGCUGACAAAAUCAUGAUCGGCCGUACGCUAGCUUCUUCAAAAAUAAUAAAUUGAGACAUGAAAACGCAUACAAAAUCGGCAAAUACUCAGAUCGGCUUCUAAAGAAAAGAUCUAAUUUUUUUCAUCAAAACAGAAUCGGCAAAAAUUAAUCAAACAAAAGGCAAACAACAGAUUAAAUCUAAUCGAAACAAUAGCAGUCAAUUCAAAAAUUAUAAAUCGACGAAACAUGCAAACAACAGAUUAAAUCUAAUCGAAACAAGAACAGUCAAUUCAAAAAUUAUAAAUCGACGAAACAUGCAAACGAAAAGAGAGAAGAUCAUACCUUAAAAUCAGAGAGCUGCUAGAGAGAGAAAUAGCCUUCGCUGAAAACCCUAGCCGCAGAAGCAAUCCAGAGAAGCGAAGAGCAAAGUGAGGUUCUGUAACGAGGAUUCUGUGGGUUUAUAAAGGGGUGCUGCUAGGGCUUAUGUUGGAAACUUUUGGAUGUAAAUUACUAUAUUGUCCUUUUAUGGAUCCUUUUGGAAAGGGUAUCUAAUUAAGUGCGCUGAAGGGUAUUUUUGGCAUCCAAAUUAAACCUAAUUUUUUUCUUUUUGUAUUUGUUGUGUGAUUGAAUAGUCUUACUUUCUUUUUCUUUGUGGCCAAGGAACAAUUUUUAUUUACACUAGAUUUAAUUCUAAUUAAGAAUUGUUAUGAAAAUAAAUAUAUGAUUUAUUAUGAUUUUUUUAAUCACAUUAAUUAGUCUUUGAUUUAGAUUAUGCUUCUUGAUAGUGAAAGGUCUUUUUUUACUAAUUAUGCAUAUACGCGUUAGCCAAGGUCUUUGUUUUGUAAUUAGGUCAAACCUCUCUAUAAAGUAAUAAACUUAGGAUUAGUAAAUCUUGUUAUUUUUUCCUCAAAAAAAUAAAAUCUUGUUAAUUUUUUCCUCAAAAAAAUAAAAUCUUAAUAAUUAAUUUUCCAAAAAACUAUCUUGUAAUUUUUAUUAUGGAAAUAUUUGUUAAUUUUGUGGAGUAAAAAUGACACCGAGUAAUAUUAAUAAUUUUCAAUAAGUAAUCAAAUUUGGAGUAAAAUAAACUAAUUCCACUCUCUUAAAUGACAUUUUUUUUCACUUUUAAUCCGCCGUGAAGAUUGUACUACAUACGUGAAAUCCCCUUAACUCGUUCCCUUCUUCACCUCAAGAAUCGGAGUUUCCCCAAUUUGCCAUAAACCCUAAUUUUUCCUACUUAAAAUUUCUUAAUCUAAUUUCUCAAAUCCCCAAUUUUUGCUUCGUCAAACAUAGAAAUCACUCAUUAUAUAAUGAUAAAUUAACUGACUUCAACUAUACAUCAAGUUGAAGAAAAGGAAGACAUGUUUGAAAAUCUUUCUUAUGUUCUCACGUGAGUAGAACCAUGUCGAUGGGAGUAUAUACAGUAGAACCUCGAUAAACCAUGUCGAUGGGCUCGCCUAAAUAAUUGUUUCUCUCGGUCCCAACUCGGUGAGAACAUGUUAAAUUAUUACGAACGAGCGAUAGAUUGCAUACAUUUUCGCUUCAUCCGUAAGAAUAUUCCAAUUUAGCUAGAUACAAGAAUAAGGCAUUGAACAAGAAAAAAAAUAAAGGUAUUUGGAUCUAAAUGGAAGGAUUACAAAUGAUUUGAGCAAGCUCUAUAUCAAAUACUUUCAAGAAAUCGAAAACCGGAAUUAUAUAACCUACUAGCAAUCAGCAAGAUACAGCAAACUGUAUGAAAAUCAAACAUAGACCAAAUAUAAAAGCAAAUCAAAAUUAAAUAUUAAAGCCCAUUAAAUAAUUCAGUACCACAACGAAAAACAAACCACCAAAACUGAAACAAAGUUUCAAUGCUGUAAAUCCUGCCACCGCCUGUCGAGUACCCAAUUCUGCGAAUGGCUACCAAACAUACAGGGCAAGAAAAUACAACACAACAAGCAAUAUAAAGGACCUACUAAAGCAUUAAAAAUACAAAUAGAGUUUUUAAGACGCAAACAAAAGUCAUGGGCAGAAUAAGGAUAACCGAAAACCAGCACAGUUCACUUGGCACCCUUCUUGGCAGCAGCCUUGGUAACCUUGGCUCCUGAUGGGUCCUUCUUCUCAACACUCUUGAUGACACCAACAGCAACUGUCUGACGCAUGUCACGAACAGCAAAACGACCCAAAGGAGGGUACUCUGAGAAGGUCUCCACCACCAUAGGCUUGGUCGGAAUCAUAUUAACCAUACCGGCAUCACCAUUCUUGAGGAACUUGGGCUCCUUCUCAAUCUCCUUGCCCGAUCGCCUGUCGAUCUUGGUCAAGAUUUCCCUAAACUUGACAGCAAUGUGGGAUGUGUGACAAUCGAGGACUGGUGCAUAACCGUUUCCAAUCUGUCCGGGGUGGUUCAUGAUGAUGACCUGGGAAGUGAAGUUAGCAGCUUCCUUAGCAGGGUCGUCCUUCGAGUUGGAUGCAACAAACCCACGCUUGAGAUCCUUGACUGCAACGUUCUUGACGUUGAACCCAACAUUGUCUCCUGGGAGAGCCUCAGGCAUAGACUCGUGGUGCAUCUCAACAGACUUAACCUCAGUGGUCAAACCAGUAGGUCCAAAAGUGACGAGCAUACCCGGCUUGAUCAAACCAGUCUCAACACGACCGACGGGCACCGUUCCAAUACCACCAAUCUUGUAGACAUCCUGAAGUGGGAGACGGAGUGGCUUGUCUGAGGGCCUCUUUGGCUCAGAGAUUAAGUCAAGAGCCUCGAGAAGGGUUGGGCCCUUGUACCAGUCAAGGUUGGUUGACCUCUCAAUCAUGUUGUCACCCUCAAAACCAGAGAUGGGAACGAAUGGGAUUUUGUCGGGGUUGUAUCCAACCUUCUUGAGGUACGAAGACACCUCCUUGACAAUUUCCUCAUACCUACCCUUGGAGUACUUAGGAGUGGUGGCAUCCAUCU
rnacentral:lncRNA from 1 species